AUGGAUCUUGAGUGGGCAGUGGUGGUCGGUGCUCGGAGUGGCUAUGUGGAAACAUUCCAGAGAAACGCGGAUACAUGGUGGCCCUCCUCAUCGAUGAGCUUGCGGCUACGGAGAAGAUUAAUACUCAAAGCUUGUGAGUACUCUAGUACAGUACAUCCGUGCUCAAUGAAUACUCAAAGCUUCUGUGAACCACUUCAUGAGGGGUGGCUGGACUUGCUGCAGACGAUGUUGUUCUCCUUGACGCACGCGAUCACCUCGGCGCCGGUGAAACCUAGCCGCUGGAACGCCGUCGAGACGCUUCCGUCCUUUUCGGCGGCGGCGCAGCGUGAAGCACCAUUGGCAUACCACCACUGCGCCGUGAGCUCGAAUAGCACAGCCGGGAGAGAGCCGCUGAGGUUGUUGCCCGCGAGCCCCAAGAACUUGAGCUUCCGGAGCCUGCCGUACCUCUUGGGGAUCGUGCCAGAGAAGAAGCCGCCCCUGAUGUCGAGCGUCUUGAGCUCUGUGGCGUUGCCGAGGUCUUCCGGGAGCGGGCCGACGAAGUUGUUUCCGGACGCGUUGAAGUGGGCCAGCGAGCCGCAAGAGCCGAGGCCGGCCGGGAACCGGCCGGCGAAGCCGUUGUCGCUGACGUCAAACUCCCGGAGCAUCGGGAUUGACACCAACGCCGUCGGCAGCACGCCCGCGAACGCGUUGCCCCGGAGCAAGACCGAGUUGAGCGCGGUGAGGCCGAGGACGGCGUCCGGGAUGGUGCCGCUCAGGUUCAUGCCCGCCAGGUCAAGGCCGGUGACCGCGCCAAGGUCGUCGCAGCGCACGCCCUUCCAGCCGCAAUGCGGCGCCGAGCCCCCAGCCCCGGAGCUCCCCCAGUGGGUCGACGAGCGACGCCCUGAUGGCCAGCAGCAUCGCCGCCUCGUCGCUCGUGGCGGCAGCGCCAUUGGACGCCCCGGCGCAGCACACGAGCGACAAUGA
rnacentral:rRNA from 1 species